ensembl:lncRNA
CCUGCAGAAAAUGGGUUUUUAAUAGAGUUUGGUUUUUCUAUCACCUCUUUGCUGCGCUGCUUUAAAUCUCGUUCCACACAGAAGCUUUGCACAGCCACUGGGGCUGAGCACAGCCAUCGUGCUGGGGAGACGCAGAGUGGAGGAAAACCAGACCCCAAUGGAUCCCAAUGGCUGGGGGGGAUACGUGGCAUCCCCUCGAGGGACAGCUGGGCCCGGCUGGAUGUGGCUGUGAGCACGCAGGGCUGGGACGCGCCGUGCAGACGCGGUCAUUGCUCUCAUCAGAAAUAAACAGGAAGAUGGGAUGAGCCUCAGCCAAGGGCUUGGGCAAUGAGGGGCUGUGCAGGGGCAGCAGGACUGCAGCUCCCAGCUCCAGCCAGCAGCAAGUCCCUACAGGAGAGCAUCCACACACAGUGUCCAGGGGGAGAACAUCGAGGGAAAUAAGGCAGUGAGCAGAGCAGGAGAGCCUCCACCCAUCUCUGCCCUUCAGCUCCAGGCCUGGCUCCUUGUGCCCAUCCAGCGCCGCAUCCACAUCCAGCACCACGCAGAGCAGUUUCCUGCAGGAAAACCACAGACUUCCAAGGGCUGCAGGUGUCGGUUCCGUGUUGUCCCCCACUCGAGCACAGAUCACAUCCCACAGCACCCCCUGCCCCUGCUCAGCCCUCAUUGACUACUGAAGCCCCGCUGCUGCUGGGGGGCUGCGCUGCUUUCCCCCUCCCCACCUCACCCUCUCCUACCUUUCCCUCCCGAGUUGCUCCCGGCCCCGAAAUCACAGCCUCGAAUAUUAAAAAAGGUCAGGCUUCAGCUCUGGUGAAGUAGCAGAAAUCAGGGCAGCGUGAAGAGCAGCAGCACAGCGGGACCGCGAGCGGGGUGAGAGGAUAUGGGGGUCCCGGUGCCGUGCCCCCGGCACCUCUCACCCCAACAACGUUUGUGCCAUUCCCCACCACCUCUGGCUCAGUCACUGACAAUUAAAUUUAAUGAUGCCUUUAAGAAAUAAUAGCGUAUGCUGUUUGAAUGGGGCUGCCUGGAGCGGGGCGGGUUGCUGCUUAUUGGGAUGGGCGACGGGGGUGUGUGUGGAUGGGUGGUGACCCCGUAGCGUUUCCCUGCCCAAGGAACUGCCCAACGGGGCCCAGAUCCCCUCGUGAU